UACGGGGGGGGCAAGCGUUGUUCGGAAUUACUGGGCGUAAAGGGCUCGUAGGCGGCCAACUAAGUCAGACGUGAAAUCCCUCGGCUUAACCGGGGAACUGCGUCUGAUACUGGAUGGCUUGAGAUUGGGAGAGGGAUGCGGAAUUCCAGGUGUAGCGGUGAAAUGCGUAGAUAUCUGGAGGAAUACCGGUGGCGAAGGCGGCAUCCUGGACCGGCAUUGACGCUGAGGAGCGAAAGCCAGGGGAGCAAACGGG
rnacentral:rRNA from 1 species